AUGGGCAUGCGCAGCAGGACCAGGGCUAUUUGUUCCAGUAUUGCUCUCUGCUGGACACAGGGUCCCUCGUCAGAGGAAGUUGCUGACGGAGUAAGUAAUGUACACCCCCCAGGCCGGAUCUCUCCACGGAGAUACAGGAGGAGAAGCAAUCCAGGCGAACCCAGAGCUCAAGUUCUGAUGGAUCCCGCAAAGCGCGAGCCAGGGACACAUCUGGUUUACCAAGUCAGUCUAUAAUACACCAGUGAGCUCUUCAGAGAAACCACACCAGCACACUAUUUGAGACUUGGAAGGAAGAGGAGGAAAUGUGUUUGACAAUGGACAUUUUUCAGCACAGAAUGAACGCUACAAUGUGACGGUUAUUACUACCACUGGAAAAAGCUCAGGCAUCCAUCUCGGUAGGAGGCCAACCCUCGCGGUUAUCAUUUUCCUGUAGGUGCUUGCUGUCUGCAACAGGGAGCUCUUCCACAGCUGAAGGGGCACACACGGGGAGCGGAUAAAGCAGGGACCUGUCUAGGCCCCAGCUCUCCUGCAGAGUCUGUGCUCACUUGCCACGACCUCCAGCCCGCAGUGAGUUCCAACAUGCAACAGGGACACCCAGCCUUCACCCACAGACUCUUCAUUCAGCAGAUAGGAAUGAUGCCGGCACUGGGCUGGGUGCUCACCAGACAGUAAUGUUUCUGUGGAACUUGACCACAUUCUGAAUCAUUUUCCCUGUCUCUGUCUCCCACCUCCGACCAAACUGUCAACGCUUCAAAAGCUGGCUAUGUUGUGUAUCUGAAAAACAGCCAUUGAAAAUAUUGAGCGUUACAUUGGGCCAGGUCCAUGUAAAACUCCACAAAGAUUAACACAGGGCCCCCCAUGGAGUAGGCCCUCAACAAAUAUUGAUUGCUUGAAAAACCGUGGCAUCUAACUUGUGCUGACCAUGGGGGUGGUGGGAACUGCUGCGGGUAAGCCUUGGUAAGUUUGUGGCUUCCUCCGAGAGCAGCCUGGGGCUGUUGUCUCCUCCAGAUACCUGUACAUGUGUGUUAGGAGCUGAGGGUGAUUUUAUUGAUGGUGUCUAUAGUUGUGCAAAUUUUCUCCUUGGAAUAUGCUAUUUCAGUUAUGCUCAAGCUCAUAAAACACUUUGGCACCAGCAUUUCAGAGGCAUAACAAUUUUAACUCACGGCAGAGAUGGUUGCAAUAAAAUCGUGGCUCUGCUUUUCUUCUGAAAUGCU
rnacentral:lncRNA from 1 species